UCUGGAUGAACGCUAGCUACAGGCUUAACACAUGCAAGUCGAGGGGCAGCAUGGUCUUAGCUUGCUAAGGCCGAUGGCGACCGGCGCACGGGUGAGUAACACGUAUCCAACCUGCCGUCUACUCUUGGACAGCCUUCUGAAAGGAAGAUUAAUACAAGAUGGCAUCAUGAGUCCGCAUGUUCACAUGAUUAAAGGUAUUCCGGUAGACGAUGGGGAUGCGUUCCAUUAGAUAGUAGGCGGGGUAACGGCCCACCUAGUCUUCGAUGGAUAGGGGUUCUGAGAGGAAGGUCCCCCACAUUGGAACUGAGACACGGUCCAAACUCCUACGGGAGGCAGCAGUGAGGAAUAUUGGUCAAUGGGCGAGAGCCUGAACCAGCCAAGUAGCGUGAAGGAUGACUGCCCUAUGGGUUGUAAACUUCUUUUAUAAAGGAAUAAAGUCGGGUAUGGAUACCCGUUUGCAUGUACUUUAUGAAUAAGGAUCGGCUAACUCCGUGCCAGCAGCCGCGGUAAUACGGAGGAUCCGAGCGUUAUCCGGAUUUAUUGGGUUUAAAGGGAGCGUAGAUGGAUGUUUAAGUCAGUUGUGAAAGUUUGCGGCUCAGCCGUAAAAUUGCAGUUGAUACUGGAUAUCUUGAGUGCAGUUGAAGCACGCGGAAUUCGUGGUGUAGCGGUGAAAUGCUUAGAUAUCACGAAGAACUCCGAUUGCGAAGGCAGCCUGCUAAGCUGCAACUGACAUUGAGGCUCGAAAGUGUGGGUAUCAAACAGGAUUAGAUACCCUGGUAGUCCACACGGUAAACGAUGAAUACUCGCUGUUUGCGAUAUACAGCAAGCGGCCAAGCGAAAGCGUUAAGUAUUCCACCUGGGGAGUACGCCGGCAACGGUGAAACUCAAAGGAAUUGACGGGGGCCCGCACAAGCGGAGGAACAUGUGGUUUAAUUCGAUGAUACGCGAGGAACCUUACCCGGGCUUAAAUUGCAGAUGAAUUACGGUGAAAGCCGUAAGCCGCAAGGCAUCUGUGAAGGUGCUGCAUGGUUGUCGUCAGCUCGUGCCGUGAGGUGUCGGCUUAAGUGCCAUAACGAGCGCAACCCUUGUUGUCAGUUACUAACAGGUUCUGCUGAGGACUCUGACAAGACUGCCAUCGUAAGAUGUGAGGAAGGUGGGGAUGACGUCAAAUCAGCACGGCCCUUACGUCCGGGGCUACACACGUGUUACAAUGGGGGGUACAGAGGGCCGCUACCACGCGAGUGGAUGCCAAUCCCCAAAACCUCUCUCAGUUCGGACUGGAGUCUGCAACCCGACUCCACGAAGCUGGAUUCGCUAGUAAUCGCGCAUCAGCCACGGCGCGGUGAAUACGUUCCCGGGCCUUGUACACACCGCCCGUCAAGCCAUGGGAGCCGGGGGUACCUGAAGUGCGUAACCGCGAGGAGCGCCCUAGGGUAAA
rnacentral:rRNA from 1 species